CACAGCUCUAUUAGAACUUGAAUUCGGAAAUGUUAAUAAAUUUUGUAUCGAUUGCUUUUGAACUGGCAUACGAACAUUAUUUUCUAUUUUUCAAUAGUCGUAAUAAUUUGCAUACACGCGUGUAACUUGCAUUUUGGAAUAGGCAUAAAAGCAGAAAUAUUUGGAUGAUCUACGGAGUUGCAGCAGGAGAAAUCGUUGAAAUUUCGCGACAUAAACAAGCGUCAUUUGACGCUACUUUCGAUACGACUAGAGUUAGUAGAGCAGAAAACAAGCUAAUUCAAAGGCAGCGUUCCUACGAACGAAAAGGGGCUUAAAGGAAGCACAUCGAUCGAUGGUGCCGGCUUUAAUAGCCAGUGUUUAUCGUCAAUACGAAACUCCUGAGGCGAAGACACCUUAUAUGUGUAGGACGGUCUCUUAUGCUCUGCCAGACACAAAUCAGAGAUGUGCCUUUGAUUACAAACGCUGACUGAAAGCUGAAGAGCCACGUACGUUUGGCAAUUAGGGAAAUAUUUCGAGUUUCCUUCCAAUCUAAUUUUAGUUUUCCUCAGUUACGCAAACGUAAUUAACGUUUCAUCGGUGGACAGAUAUUUCAUACUUUAGAAACGUACAUACGACGUUAUAAUUAAGUAAACGUAACGAAGACCUGUGGAUUUCAUUUUGGUUAUUCAUUCGAGAAAUAGCUUUAACAAUUAACAACGUACAAUAUCCGUCUGGAUGUCUGGUUCGUAAAUAGCAAUUCAAUUUGCUGUUAAAUAAGAUAUGUCGAUAAAAUUUGCUUCGUGAUAAAACUUCGCUGUUCUACUCGUGUGCAUUCCACAACACGCGAAACAAUCGUUCUAAAGAUAAGUUCGAUUCAGCAGACAAACGCUAUAUCCAGUCAAAUUGGGAUUCACACAUGUGGGAAAACUACACGAGGGGAGAAACGGCUGAGAAAAGGGAGGAAUUCGUGCAAGAAACUGUUACGCGAUUGAGAGUCAUGCUUUGAACCAAGACCGCGUGACUUAGGUAUAUAAGCUAAGAUAUUGGUACAGGAAUGGACGGAACGUUGUACGACUAACAACGGGAUCCACUUAAGGAAAGCGUGGAUAAGCUGGGAUCUUCUAAGAUGAGUGUAUCUCGUAAUCUGCUAUCACGUGGUAACUCAAAUAACUUCGCGACGGAUAACUAAAAUAUACUGUAUGAAUUAAACCGAAUAAAAGGAUAUCCGACGUAUAA